GAAUCGUGGAGUGCGCCCGUGGCCCUGAGGGCAGGCGGAGACCCUGGUGGCUCCCAUACGCGUAACAGCACUCACUGCUCUUUGACGUUAGUGAAUAGAACGUAAGCUACCUGGAGCAGGGACCUUGUCCCAGCGUCGACCGCGGCGCCCGUCACCUCCAGAUAACCAGGUUUUGUAAAUCCUUGGCUCAGAAAGUUGGACAGGACAGGAACUCUUUUUUGGAAUACAAACCCACUGGUGGAAAAAUCAAAGGACUACUGGAAACAGGCUGGUAACUUCAGUGAAGUGGUCUAGGUGUGACAUCACUUGAUAUCCAUCCCCCACCCAAAAGGGGAGAAAGAAGACAUUGACUGUUUAUUCAGAGUCUGAAAUGCAACCCAUCUUCACUUCCGGGACCCACUGAUGAUCUCUUCUGGAGUUUUGGCCUGAAGCUAAAACUGGCAGCCCCUGGACUAAGUUCGGCAUAUAGACUAGAUUCGAUAUUUAGCCAUUAUGUAUCCUGCACCAUGUUGAUGGUUACAAUGUUGAAAUAUUUCGAGGGUAAAUAGUAUCAUGGUAAUUACAAUAAAUGUUACAAUUAAUAGAAAUUUUAA